rnacentral:rRNA from 1 species
UACGUAGGGACCGAGCGUUGUCCGGAUUCAUUGGGCGUAAAGAGCUCGUAGGCGGCCACUCAAGUCGAAUGUGAAACCUCGAGGCUUAACCUCGAGCCUGCAUUCGAUACUGGGCGGCUAGAGUCUGGUAGGGGGAUCUGGAAUUCCUGGUGUAGCGGUGGAAUGCGCAGAUAUCGGGAAGAACACCCGUGGCGAAGGCGGCUCUCUGGGACGGUACUGGACGCUGAGACGCGAAAGCGUGGGGAGCGAACGAGG